CCACCCAAGGAGUCUCUGCAGCAACCAAGGAGUGUAUUCGUCAUUCCUAAGGAAACUGGGCUGAUGGAUAUGCACAAAGAGAGACCUGGCACGCAGAGCAGAGACUGAAGGAUGGAGCCAAUGGGCAGUAGAACCCUGGCAAAACUUAUUAAAGAUGCAGAUGCAGGGGAGACAGAGCCUAGAAGAGAUGCCAACAGAAAGGUGAUGGGGCCAUCUCUUUAA
rnacentral:lncRNA from 1 species